rnacentral:rRNA from 1 species
AGCGUACACGGUGGAUGCCCUGGCAGUCAGAGGCGAUGAAGGACGUGCUAAUCUGCGAUAAGCGUCGGUAAGGUGAUAUGAACCGUUAUAACCGGCGAUUUCCGAAUGGGGAAACCCAGUGUGUUUCGACACACUAUCAUUAACUGAAUCCAUAGGUUAAUGAGGCGAACCGGGGGAACUGAAACAUCUAAGUACCCCGAGGAAAAGAAAUCAACCGAGAUUCCCCCAGUAGCGGCGAGCGAACGGGGAGCAGCCCAGAGCCUGAAUCAGUGUGUGUGUUAGUGGAAGCGUCUGGAAAGGCGCGCGAUACAGGGUGACAGCCCCGUACACAAAAAUGCACAUGCUGUGAGCUCGAUGAGUAGGGCGGGACACGUGGUAUCCUGUCUGAAUAUGGGGGGACCAUCCUCCAAGGCUAAAUACUCCUGACUGACCGAUAGUGAACCAGUACCGUGAGGGAAAGGCGAAAAGAACCCCGGCGAGGGGAGUGAAAAAGAACCUGAAACCGUGUACGUACAAGCAGUGGGAGCACGCUUAGGCGUGUGACUGCGUACCUUUUGUAUAAUGGGUCAGCGACUUAUAUUCUGUAGCAAGGUUAACCGAAUAGGGGAGCCGAAGGGAAACCGAGUCUUAACUGGGCGUUAAGUUGCAGGGUAUAGACCCGAAACCCGGUGAUCUAGCCAUGGGCAGGUUGAAGGUUGGGUAACACUAACUGGAGGACCGAACCGACUAAUGUUGAAAAAUUAGCGGAUGACUUGUGGCUGGGGGUGAAAGGCCAAUCAAACCGGGAGAUAGCUGGUUCUCCCCGAAAGCUAUUUAGGUAGCGCCUCGUGAAUUCAUCUCCGGGGGUAGAGCACUGUUUCGGCAAGGGGGUCAUCCCGACUUACCAACCCGAUGCAAACUGCGAAUACCGGAGAAUGUUAUCACGGGAGACACACGGCGGGUGCUAACGUCCGUCGUGAAGAGGGAAACAACCCAGACCGCCAGCUAAGGUCCCAAAGUCAUGGUUAAGUGGGAAACGAUGUGGGAAGGCCCAGACAGCCAGGAUGUUGGCUUAGAAGCAGCCAUCAUUUAAAGAAAGCGUAAUAGCUCACUGGUCGAGUCGGCCUGCGCGGAAGAUGUAACGGGGCUAAACCAUGCACCGAAGCUGCGGCAGCGACGCUUAUGCGUUGUUGGGUAGGGGAGCGUUCUGUAAGCCUGCGAAGGUGUGCUGUGAGGCAUGCUGGAGGUAUCAGAAGUGCGAAUGCUGACAUAAGUAACGAUAAAGCGGGUGAAAAGCCCGCUCGCCGGAAGACCAAGGGUUCCUGUCCAACGUUAAUCGGGGCAGGGUGAGUCGACCCCUAAGGCGAGGCCGAAAGGCGUAGUCGAUGGGAAACAGGUUAAUAUUCCUGUACUUGGUGUUACUGCGAAGGGGGGACGGAGAAGGCUAUGUUGGCCGGGCGACGGUUGUCCCGGUUUAAGCGUGUAGGCUGGUUUUCCAGGCAAAUCCGGAAAAUCAAGGCUGAGGCGUGAUGACGAGGCACUACGGUGCUGAAGCAACAAAUGCCCUGCUUCCAGGAAAAGCCUCUAAGCAUCAGGUAACAUCAAAUCGUACCCCAAACCGACACAGGUGGUCAGGUAGAGAAUACCAAGGCGCUUGAGAGAACUCGGGUGAAGGAACUAGGCAAAAUGGUGCCGUAACUUCGGGAGAAGGCACGCUGAUAUGUAGGUGAAGCGACUUGCUCGUGGAGCUGAAAUCAGUCGAAGAUACCAGCUGGCUGCAACUGUUUAUUAAAAACACAGCACUGUGCAAACACGAAAGUGGACGUAUACGGUGUGACGCCUGCCCGGUGCCGGAAGGUUAAUUGAUGGGGUUAGCGCAAGCGAAGCUCUUGAUCGAAGCCCCGGUAAACGGCGGCCGUAACAAUAACGGUCCUAAGGUAGCGAAAUUCCUUGUCGGGUAAGUUCCGACCUGCACGAAUGGCGUAAUGAUGGCCAGGCUGUCUCCACCCGAGACUCAGUGAAAUUGAACUCGCUGUGAAGAUGCAGUGUACCCGCGGCAAGACGGAAAGACCCCGUGAACCUUUACUAUAGCUUGACACUGAACAUUGAGCCUUGAUGUGUAGGAUAGGUGGGAGGCUUUGAAGUGUGGACGCCAGUCUGCAUGGAGCCGACCUUGAAAUACCACCCUUUAAUGUUUGAUGUUCUAACGUUGACCCGUAAUCCGGGUUGCGGACAGUGUCUGGUGGGUAGUUUGACUGGGGCGGUCUCCUCCUAAAGAGUAACGGAGGAGCACGAAGGUUGGCUAAUCCUGGUCGGACAUCAGGAGGUUAGUGCAAUGGCAUAAGCCAGCUUGACUGCGAGCGUGACGGCGCGAGCAGGUGCGAAAGCAGGUCAUAGUGAUCCGGUGGUUCUGAAUGGAAGGGCCAUCGCUCAACGGAUAAAAGGUACUCCGGGGAUAACAGGCUGAUACCGCCCAAGAGUUCAUAUCGACGGCGGUGUUUGGCACCUCGAUGUCGGCUCAUCACAUCCUGGGGCUGAAGUAGGUCCCAAGGGUAUGGCUGUUCGCCAUUUAAAGUGGUACGCGAGCUGGGUUUAGAACGUCGUGAGACAGUUCGGUCCCUAUCUGCCGUGGGCGCUGGAGAACUGAGGGGGGCUGCUCCUAGUACGAGAGGACCGGAGUGGACGCAUCACUGGUGUUCGGGUUGUCAUGCCAAUGGCACUGCCCGGUAGCUAAAUGCGGAAGAGAUAAGUGCUGAAAGCAUCUAAGCACGAAACUUGCCCCGAGAUGAGUUCUCCCUGACUCCUUGA